AGUCACUGACAUUAGAUACCCGUGUAGUCCAGGGUGUAGACGCUGCAGACUUGGUGUUGGAAGCCCUUUGGGGGCAUUCAGUGCCGGAGAGAAGUUGUUAAGUCUGCUACUUGGGGAGUACGUCCGCAAGGAUGAAACUUAAAGGAAUUGGUGGGGGAGCACCGCAACGGGAGGAGCGUGCGGUUUAAUUGGAUUCAACACCGUAAAACUCACCAGGGAAGACUGUUACAUGAAGGCCGAGAUGAAGACUCUGCUAGAUUUUCAG
rnacentral:rRNA from 1 species